UCUCUCUGAAUCUGCGAACGGCUCCGCAAACCAGUUGUAAACUACAGCAAGCAAGCACGGGGGGUUGGCCUUCACGGGUCGGUCCCUCGGGCGAUAUGGAUAACCCUGGUAAUUCUGAGGCUAAUACAAGAACGUAACCCCUGGCUGACUGAGCCCUCGCCCUCGGGUGGGGAUACUUGGGAGGCUGGGAAGCGUGCGAGUACUAAUGCGAAUGAGAACCGGGAAUGGGCGCACGCUUGGACCGCGCUACAAAGGAUCAUUACUCGGCAAUCCCUCCGGGGUGCGCUUUGUUUUGGCCCUAGCGGCUCUUGCGGUGUGCUUCUGACCUAUCAACUAGACGGCAGCGUAACGGACAUGCUAUGGUUACAACGGGUACAGAGGAUUAGGGUUCGAUCCUGGAGAGUGGGCCUGAGAGAUU
rnacentral:rRNA from 1 species